UACGUAGGGUGCAAGCGUUGUCCGGAAUUAUUGGGCGUAAAGAGCUCGUAGGUGGUUUGUCGCGUUGUCCGUGAAAACUCACAACUCAAUUGUGGGCGUGCGGGCGAUACGGGCAGACUGGAGUACUGCAGGGGAGACUGGAAUUCCUGGUGUAGCGGUGGAAUGCGCAGAUAUCAGGAGGAACACCGGUGGCGAAGGCGGGUCUCUGGGCAUUAACUGACGCUGAGGAGCGAAAGCAUGGGGAGCGAACAGG
rnacentral:rRNA from 1 species